rnacentral:rRNA from 1 species
CAUGGUGUCGUCAGCUCGUGUCGUGAGAUGUUGGGUUAAGUCCCGCAACGAGCGCAACCCUCGACCUUAGUUGCCAGCAUUCAGUUGGGCACUCUAAGGUGACUGCCGGCUAAAAGUCGGAGGAAGUGGGGAUGACGUCAAAUCAUCAUGCCCCUUAUGACCUGGGCUACACACGUGCUACAAUGGGCGGUACAAAGGGUCGCGAACCCGCGAGGGGGAGCCAAUCCCAAAAAGCCGCUCUCAGUUCGGAUUGCAGGCUGCAACUCGCCUGCAUGAAGCCGGAAUCGCUAGUAAUCGCGGAUCAGCAUGCCGCGGUGAAUACGUUCCCGGGCCUU